rnacentral:rRNA from 1 species
AAAUAGAUACCCCGGUAGUCCACGCCGUAAACAUGUCGACUUGGAGGUUNUUCCCUUGAGGAGUGGCUUCCGGAGCUAACGCGUUAAGUCGACCGCCUGGGGAGUACGGCCGCAAGGUUAAAACUCAAAUGAAUUGACGGGGGCCCGCACAAGCGGUGGAGCAUGUGGUUUAAUUCGAUGCAACGCGAAGAACCUUACCUACUCUUGACAUCCAGAGAACUUAGCAGAGAUGCUUUGGUGCCUUCGGGAACUCUGAGACAGGUGCUGCAUGGCUGUCGUCAGCUCGUGUUGUGAAUGUUGGGUUAAGUCCGCAACGAGCGCAACCUUAUCUUGUUGCNGCGGUCCGGCCGGAACUCAAGGAGACUGCCGAGUGAAUAAACGUAGGAGGGAAGGGUGGGGAGUAGGACGGUACGAAGUCAUCAUCGGCCCUUACGAGUAGGGCUACACACGUGCUACAAUGGCGUAUAACAAAGGAGAAGACGGACCUCGACGAGAGACGAGCGGACCUACACUAAAGUAACGUCGUAGUCGGUAGUUGGAGUCUGCACUACGA